UACGUAGGGUGCGAGCGUUGCCCGGAUUUAUUGGGCGUAAAGGGCGCGUAGGCGGCUCUGCACGUUCGUUGUGAAAUCGCCCGGCUCAACUGGGCGGGGUCAGCGGAUACGGCGGAGCUUGAGCAAGCUAGGGGGCAGUGGAAUUCCCGGUGUAGUGGUGGAAUGCGUAGAUAUCGGGAGGAACGCCCAGGGGGAAACCAGUGGGCUGGGCAGCACCUGACGCUGAGGUGCGAGAGCGUGGGGAGCGAACCGG
rnacentral:rRNA from 1 species